GAGUUUGAUCGUGGCUCAGGACGAACGCUGGCGGCGUGCUUAACACAUGCAAGUCGAGCGGAAAGGCCCUUCGGGGUACUCGAGCGGCGAACGGGUGAGUAACACGUGAGUGACCUGCCCCGGGCUUUGGGAUAACCCUCGGAAACGGGGGCUAAUACCGGAUAGGACUCCUGACUGCAUGGUUGGGGGUGGAAAGUUUUUCGGCUUGGGAUGGGCUCGCGGCCUAUCAGCUUGUUGGUGGGGUGAUGGCCUACCAAGGCGACGACGGGUAGCCGGCCUGAGAGGGCGACCGGCCACACUGGGACUGAGACACGGCCCAGACUCCUACGGGAGGCAGCAGUGGGGAAUAUUGCACAAUGGGCGGAAGCCUGAUGCAGCGACGCCGCGUGAGGGAUGACGGCCUUCGGGUCGUAAACUGCUUUUAUUGAGUGAAGAAUAUGACGGUAACUCAUGAAUAAGCACCGGCUAACUAACGUGCCAGCAGCCGCCG
rnacentral:rRNA from 1 species